AGUUUCAUUGAUCCUCUCAAAGAACCAUCAUUUGAUUACAUUGAUUUUCUUGAUUGUUUUCUUAUUCUCUGUUUUUCUCCACUCUAAUCUUCAUUGUUUCUUUCUACUAGCUUUGGGUUUAGUUUGUGCUUCCUUGCCUCGUUCCUUAUGCUAUAAGAUUAGAUGCUCAUCCUGGAGACUGUUCCAUGUGCACUUGAGAAAACCGUGGGUGAUACUGUUGCUGAGUCCAAGUUGUCCAAGUUGUCCAUAUUAUGUCUUGGUCCUCAAUUUCUUUCCCAAUCUUCUGCUUCAUGGUUGUCUCCAUUAUCAGAAGUGGGGUGCCAAAGACUCCAACUGUUAUGCAGAACUGCUUAUUUCUGCUUUUAAGACUCGAAGGAGGAGCUAGUGAUGUAGACUGGCUUUGGCGCUCAUCAGAUUUAAGAAUACUCCAGUUGCUGAAUGAGAGGAGGGAGAAUGGACCCAGUGAAUUUGAACUUAACACCAUGACACCAAUCACUGUUCUAAACCAGAGGUGACCUGAGAGUGCCCACCACUAGGGUGCAAGUGCUUACUUGUGGAGCUUGGGGCCUGAACAGUCAGCUCACAGUAGAUGGUGAAGGAUGAAUCUACUCUCACCCCACAGCUCUGCCUGCUUGGACACUCCAGAAAGGAUGCUGUAACCCAGGGCUGGUUGGAAUGGGCAGCAGAAACAUGCAGACCUACCCCUGGGGGGCUGCUCUCAGCAGAGCACAGCCAGCGGUAAUCCAAAUCACAGGUGAUGGGCUCUCAACAGCCUGACUGAGGACAGGUGAGCAUCAGGAUGCACUGGCAACACACUGCAAGGAGCCAGCAGGGAGGACGCUCAGCUGCAAUGUACUGGGAGGAAAGGGGUCCACGUAGGAGCAAUGGCCAGGGCACAGACCCAGAACUGACUCUGAAUCUACACUGUUGAACAG
ensembl:lncRNA